rnacentral:rRNA from 1 species
AACGAACGCUGGCGGCAGGCCUAACACAUGCAAGUCGAGCGAGGACUUCGGUCCUAGCGGCGGACGGGUGUGUCACGCGUGGGAACGUGCCCUUUGCUUCGGAAUAGCCCUGGGAAACUGGGAGUAAUACCGGAUGAGCUCUUUGGGGGCAAGAUUUAUCGGCGAAGGAUCGGCCCGCGUUGGAUUAGGUAGUUGGUGGGGUAAUGGCCUACCAAGCCGACGAUCCAUAGCUGGUUUGAGAGGAUGAUCAGCCACACUGGGACUGAGACACGGCCCAGAAUACUACGGGAGGCAGCAGUGGGGGAUCUUGGACAAUGGGGGAAGCGCUGAACUAGCCAUGCUGCGUGAGCGAUGAAGGCCGUAGGGUAGUAAAGCUCUUUCAGCUGGGAAGAUAAUGACGGUACCAGCAGAAGAAGCCCCGGCUAACUCCGUG